rnacentral:rRNA from 1 species
GGACGAACGCUGGCGGCGUGCUUAACACAUGCAAGUCGAACGGUGAAGUGACUUCGGUCAUGGAUCAGUGGCGGACGGGUGAGUAACGCGUGAAUAACCUGCCUGUAUGUGGGGGAUAACAACCGGAAACAGUUGCUAAUACCGCAUAACGUAUAGAGAUCGCAUGUUUCUAUACCAAAGAUUUAUUGCAUACAGAUGGAUUCGCGUCCGAUUAGAUAGUUGGUGAGGUAACGGCCCACCAAGUCGACGAUCGGUAGCCGGACUGAGAGGUUGAACGGCCACAUUGGAACUGAGAAACGGUCCAGACUCCUACGGGAGGCAGCAGUGGGGAAUAUUGGGCAAUGGGCGAAAGCCUGACCCAGCGACGCCGCGUGAGGGAAGAAGGUCUUCGGAUUGUAAACCUUAGUCAACAGGGAAGAAGCAAGUGACGGUACCUGUGGAGGAAGCCACGGCUAACUACGUG